UGGGGAAUAUUGCACAAUGGGCGCAAGCCUGAUGCAGCGACGCCGCGUGAGGGAUGACGGCCUUCGGGUUGUAAACCUCUUUCGCCAGGGACGAAGGGUGACUGACGGUACCUGGAGAAGAAGCACCGGCUAACUACGUGCCAGCAGCCGCGGUAAUACGUAGGGUGCGAGCGUUGUCCGGAAUUAUUGGGCGUAAAGAGCUCGUAGGCGGUUUGUUGCGUCGGCCGUGAAAACUGGAGGCUUAACCUUCAGCUUGCGGUCGAUACGGGCAGACUUGAGUUCGGUAGGGGAGACUGGAAUUCUUGGUGUAGCGGUGAAAUGCGCAGAUAUCAGGAGGAACACCGGUGGCGAAGGCGGGUCUCUGGGCCGAUACUGACGCUGAGGAGCGAAAGCGUGGGGAGCGAACAGGAUUAGAUACCCUGGUAGUCCACGCUGUAAACGUUGGGCGCUAGGUGUGGGUGACAUCCACGUUGUCCGUGCCGUAGCUAACGCAUUAAGCGCCCCGCCUGGGGAGUACGGCC
rnacentral:rRNA from 1 species